AUCUUUAGAAAUCUUAUCAAAAUAUAACAAUUGUGGUGGAUAGAGAUCUAAAAAUGAUAUCAACAUGAGAGUUAAAAGGUUUGAUUGAAAAUAAAAAUAACAUGAUCAUACACAUAUGAGUACCACACAUUGGCCAUUUUGGCUUCCAUGUAGGCAGUUCCUUCUUCAACUUGCCUUUGCAAUGACUAUAAAUAAAGCACAAGGACAAACUAUGAGCAUUGUUAGUUUCCAUCUGUGGUACAACAUGUCUUUACUCAUGGGCAAUUGUAUGUGGGAUUAUCAUGUGCAAGCAAUUUAAGUACAAUGUUUGUGAGUUGUUGAAAUGACAUCAUCUCAAUUACAUAAAAAAAUUCAGAUUGUUCUUUUACGCAAUACAAUCUGUGUAAUUUUUAUUUUUAUUAUUUAUUUAUUUAUUUAAUGCAGUAAAAAGCACUGUCAUUUUGGCUACUAAGGUAUAUUGUGUUUUGAUAUAUAUUACUUUUUUAAUAUUGAAUUACAAAUUGACCACUUGAUAUCAAAAAACUUUUGCAAAUCAUGCUUCAUUGCAACUUGAUUUGACUUCAUCACAAUUGUCCCUUUUGUAGAGGAUUCUUUAAUGCAAUUUGAUUUGCAUUUAUCGCAAUGGUCUCUUUUAUAGUGGAUUCUUUAUUAUAACUUAAUUUGCAUUCGAUGUAAUUGUAAAUUUUGCAAAGGGCUCUUCAUCGCAACUUCAUUUGCCUUCAUUGCAACCUUAAUGUGGCCUUUAGUGCGAUUACAUGUAUUAAGCUGGUUCAAAAGGUUGAUAAUCCAUGGUGCCAUUGUAUUAUGUGAAUUCUUGCUUGAGAAUGCAUCAAGCACCUAGCUAUGGAAGGUAAAUAGAAAAAUGCAACAACAAGGUCCCAACAAGUCAAAUAGAAUCAUAAAUAAACUCUAAUCAAAUCUUAACAAUCAUAAUUAAAUUUUAAUCAAAUCCAAAAGAAGUUAGAAAGAAAAUACUAAAAAUACAUAAAAAAUCAGAAAUUAAUCUUAAAGAAAAAUAAUAAAGAAAUCCUAAUUAAAUCCUAAUAAAAUCCUAUCCAAACUCUCACCAAAUCCUAACAAAUCCUAAUAAAAUCUAAAGCUAAUCUAAAAUAACCCUAAUGAAAUUCUAAUUAAAUCUUAAUGAAAUCCAAAUUAAAUCCUAAGAAAAUUCUAAAGAAAUCCUAAAUAACACUAAAAAGAAUCCAAAAAAACCUUAAGUAAAUCCUAACCAAUUCCUAUAGAUAUUUUAAAAUCUCAACAACUAUUAAUCAAAUUGUUGAUCUUAACUAAAUUUUUUUACUCAUUUCAAUCCAUAAGCAAAUAUUAUGCAUACAAAUUUUGAGGAAAAUUGAACUCACCAAUUGACAGAACAUGCUCCU
rnacentral:lncRNA from 1 species